CAGCAUCGUGACCGUCUACAACUUUGGGCAGGGGCCGGUGGGCGGGGGAGAGACAUGCCGGACCCCGACGCUAUGCACGCCCUUGGGCGCGAGUCUGCGCAGCUCUUCAAGCAUCAACCGCUACCGAGGGGUUACACCAGCAUCCUCGCAUUCGACCCAGACUCGAAAUCUUAUCAGUUUACCGAACAACGAAGUGUGCCCGACUCGCAAUUUGAUAAUGACGUCAUCAUGUUGACGUCAUAUAGUUGUUAUUUCAACGAAAUUCCAAAGUUAACUUUUGUUCAAAUGUAAAACAAAUCGACGAAUAUGCAUAAAAUUAAAAAGAAAAGCAAUGAUGUUCAGCUAUACUGAAAACAGAUGUUAACAUGUGGCGUGCGCAGGGCGGGUCUGGUUCCUCCAUGGAAGUUGAUAAAGUGGACAGCCGGCCCACUUCCGGUCGGUGUCGGCCCUUUACCGCCGGGCCUUACAGAUAGUCCAUCUCUGCAAAGUACCCUUUUGCUGGACCCGGACUGCGUGUAUGACGACACCAGCCACCAUGCGCCGCGAUCCCGGAGAGAGAGCCCACAGAAACCGGACGCACAUAGCGGGACCGCGGCACGGGGCGCUGUUGAUCAGAGAUUGACGCGGCAACGCCAGAUGAUCAAGCUUGCCCGGACGCGAAUGUAAUGCGCAGUGACAACAUCGACCGGAUCGCCCCCAGUCUGCACAUGCGCAGUGACAACAUCGACCGGAUCGCUCCAAGUCUACACACGCGCAGUGACAACAUCGACCGGAUCGCCCCAAGUCUGCACAUGCGCAGUGACAACAUCGACCGGAUCACCCCAAGUCUGCACAUGCGCAGUGACAACAUCGACCGGAUCGCUUCAAGUUUGCACACGCGCAGUGACAACAUCGACCGGAUCGCCUAAAGUCUGCACAUGCGCAGUGACAACAUUGACCGGAUCGCCCCAAGUCUGCACAUGCGCAGUGACACAAACACCACCCAGUCGGCCGAACGCCGCAGUUUUCUGUUUCCGGAACAACGAAAACGUGUCCCACUCGGAGCUAAAAUUGUGCAGUACCUAAUACAGACUCAACUCGACGUUCAUGUCCGAAGUAUCCAGUUCGAUCCCCUCGAUAUCCGGUCGGCGCGACCCGGGGUCAACUCCCGCUGGGUCGUCGAAUUUUGUACUACAGCGGAUAUGGCAAAAGCUAUACAGUCGGGGCUUCAAGUGGGCACGGACCGGCUGGUGUUCUACCCGCAUGAUGACGUCACUACACGCGAAACAGCGGCCUAUAGAAACUACAUGGAGGUUGUUAACGCUCAUGCAGUGAUAGCGGCGUCUGCUGAUAACGCAGUUCGCGGGAAACUUAAAAACGCAGUUUCCAGCGGUCGACGUCACUCACGACCUUAAAGAUACUAUGAAGAUAUGAGCUAAUUGGAAUUGACUUUGAAACCAUGUCAUCAUGCUAAUUUGUGUCGUUUGGUAUAUGUACCGUAGCACUUACCAAUAAUGACUCGAUUUUUUGAGUCAGCUUAAGAUUCAAGAGGGAUAAUUUCAUUACCACCAUUUUAAUUCAACCAUCCACAUACAUUAAGGCACAUAUACGCUUUCUUUUUUUUAGUUUCAGUUUUUGUUUGUUUUGAAUACUGUGAAUAUAAUACAUGUAUUGAUAAUAAUAACUUAUUGAUUCAUUUCCAACUUAAAACACAAAAUUAUAUCAUGUAUACAUGAAACAGAUUUAGAACAAAUAUAAAUAACUUUCAUUUCCAGAUAUUUUAGUUUAAGGCCCUUUCUUAUCAAAUAAGGUCAGACAAAUUGUGUGGUCGGACGUAGCAACUGACAGACAGACACGAUGAUGGGCAGAGGGCUAGCCUAAAGCCACCAAUAUCAGAAUACCUUUCUGAACACAAAGUCGUGUGGUUUUGGAUCCAUACUAACAAAACAAUUUAUGUGAUUUUGUAACAUUAUAUACAAUACACAAAUAUGACAGGACACACAUAUAUAUAAUAUUAAUACUAUAAAAAAGCAU